rnacentral:rRNA from 1 species
UACGAAGGGGGCUAGCGUUGUCCGGAAUCAUUGGGCGUAAAGCGCGCGUAGGUGGCUUCAUAAGUCCGUUGUGAAAGUCAAAGGCUCAACCUUUGAAAGCCGAUGGAUACUGUGGAGCUAGAGUACGGAAGAGGCGAGUGGAAUUCCUGGUGUAGCGGUGGAAUGCGCAGAUAUCAGGAGGAACACCAAUAGCGAAGGCAGCUCGCUGGGACGUUACUGACACUGAGGCGCGAAAGCGUGGGGAGCGAACAGG